rnacentral:rRNA from 1 species
UGCUAAUAACCGGAUAACAACAGAUGAUGCCUAUCAACUGUUUAAAAGAUGGUUCUGCUAUCACUCUUGGAUGGACCUGCGGUGCAUUAGCUAGUUGGUAGGGUAACGGCCCUACCAAGGCGAUGAUGCAUAGCCGAGUUGAGAGACUGAUCGGCCACAUUGGGACUGAGACACGGCCCAAACUCCUACGGGAGGCAGCAGUC